UGAUGUCACAAUGAGUGCUCAGAACCAAAGAAGAAAAUGAUAGUCACCCUGACACUGUGGUGUCCAGCCCACCAGCUAUACCAAUUGUGAAGGUUUUAAGAACUUGCUUCCUGAUGAGUCUUCUUCGCAAGUGAAAAGCUGCAGCAGUGAGAACACCUGAUGACUAUCACAAAGAGGGAGAGUUACUUCCAAGACUAAGUGACAGCACCUUAGGCGGAGAGACCUCUAUGGGAGGACACGUGGCACAGAUCAUGAAAACAUGGAAACUCGAUAUCAUGAGUAUGCAGAAGCAAAAUGGUUUUUGUCAAAGAUUCAGGAUGAAUUUAGAGGUGGAAAAAUCAGCGUUGAAAAUACUUACAAAUUGCUUGAAAAACUUGAUAUUCCAUGCAGCUUUUCUCAUGUGAAGAAUGUUUUUAAGGAAAAUGACAUACAGAGACAAGGGAAAAUCACCAUAGAAGAGUUUAGAGCCAUUUAUCGGUGUAUUGCACACAGAGAAGAAAUUAUCGAGAUUUUCAACACGUAUUCUGAAAACCGGAAAAUUCUUUCUGAAAAAAAUCUGACUGAAUUUUUAACCCGAGAGCAGUAUGAACUGGAGUUAAAUUAUUCCAUUUCAACAGAGAUCAUCCAAAAGUAUGAGCCUAUUGACGAAGUGAAGAAUAAAGGGCAGAUGUCGUUUGAAGGUUUUGCAAGAUAUAUGUCUUCACCAGAAUGUCUGCUAUUUAAAGAAAAGUGUAAAACAGUCUAUCAAGAUAUGAAUCAGCCAUUAAAUGAUUAUUUUAUUUCAUCUUCUCACAACACAUAUUUGAUAUCUGAUCAAUUAGUGGGAUCAAGUGACAUUUGGGGAUAUGUAAGUGCUCUUGUGAAAGGCUGCCGCUGUCUGGAAAUUGACUGCUGGGAUGGGGCACAAAAUGAACCUAUUGUGUACCACGGUUACACAUUGACCAGCAAGCUUCUCUUCAAAACUGUUAUCCAAGCAAUAAACAAGUACGCCUUCAUGUCAUCUGAGUACCCAGUGGUGCUGUCCUUGGAGAACCACUGCUCCCCUGGCCAGCAGGAAGUGAUGGCUGACAUUCUGCAGAGUACCUUUGGAGACUUCCUACUCUCCGAUAUGCUUGAUGAGUUUCCAGAUAGACUGCCGUCUCCAGAGGCACUAAAAUUCAAAAUAUUAGUGAAAAAUAAAAAAAUAGGAACCUUAUUGGAAACCCGUGAGAGGAAGGGGACUCAAAAACAGGGCCAGGUGCUAGAGUUAGAAGAAGAUAUGUAUGAAGAUGAUGAUGAUGAAUUAUUAAGUGGACCAGAAACACAAGACGUCUUUUUCUCACGGCUCCAGAAGGCAAAGGAGAUAAGUUUCUCAAAGCUGACCGGAGGAGUACUUGCCACCAAAAGGAGCAGGAAGCUAAGAAUAGCUCUGGCCUUAUCUGAUCUUGUCAUUUAUACUAAAGCUGAGAAGUUCCGGAGCUUACAACAUUCAAGACUCUAUCAGCAAUUUAAUGAGAAUAGUUCUAUUGGGGAGUCUCGAGCUCGAAAACUUUCAAAACUGAGAGCACAUGAAUUCAUUUUCCACACCAGGACAUUCAUCACCAGAGUUUACCCAAAACUUAUAAGAGCAGACUCUUCUAAUUUUAACCCUCAAGAGUUUUGGAAUGUAGGCUGUCAGAUGGUGGCCUUGAAUUUCCAAACCCCUGGACUGCCUAUGGAUUUGCAGAAUGGGAAAUUUUUGGAUAAUGGAGGCUCUGGAUACAUUUUGAAGCCAGACUUUCUAAGAGAUGCAACCCUGAACUUUAACCCAAAUGAAGCAACAAGAAAUGGCCGCCCAAUUACUCUCACAAUACGACUCAUCAGUGGGAUCCAGUUGCCUGUCAGCUUGUUCCCUGGCAAAGACGACACAUUAGUGAUCGUGGAGGUGUACGGUGUUCCAAAUGACCACGUAAAACACCAGACUCGUGUUGUUAAGAAAAACGCUUUUAGUCCGAGGUGGAAUGAAACGUUUACAUUUGUUAUUCAAGUGCCAGAACUAGCAUUGAUACGUUUUGUUGUUGAAAAUCAAGGCUUUAUAACAGGAAAUGAAUUUCUUGGGCAGUACACUUUACCAGUUCUUUGCAUGAACAAAGUAAAAGGUAGUCAUGGUGACAAGAAGAUGUGAAGGAGAGGGAUAAGACAGAAGGAAACACUGACUCAUUCUUCUGCCUGAGCACAGCCCUAAGAGCCUGGGAGCGAGACCUUUUUGGAUCAUUUUCUGGGCUGCCAGCAUGAUGCAGAGUCACCUUCCCAGAAUGGUUUACUUAGUGCUACAAAUGGCUUCCUCUCAGGAUGCUCACUUUUCUAUCACCAGCUGAGGCAUACAGGAAGCGGGCAGGCUCUUUUGGAAGCAGAGGGUGAUGGGUAAUUUUGGAUCAUGAUGCCCUUGUGAGAGGAGACACAUGAGGUUAUCGUCGUGUUCCUCUGUUUUCCAAAGCAGGUGCAAACCUUGAACCUUCUUCACUGUUCAUUUACGUUUGGUACAUCAGAGAGUGACUAAAUGUACCUGACAUGUUAGCUACACAUCACAAUAAACAGUCCAAAGGAA